rnacentral:rRNA from 1 species
CCAAUAGCGUAUAUUAAAGUUGUUGCAGUUAAAAAGCUCGUAGUUGAAUUUCGGGGUUAGUAGGUUGGUCAUGCCUCUGGUAUGCACUGGUCUCACUGAUUCCUCCUUCCUGAUGAGCCGUAAUGCCAUUAAUUUGGUGUUGCGGGGAAUUUGGACGGUUACUUUGAAAAAAUUAGCGUGUUUAAAGCAAGCUAACGCUUGAAUACAUUAGCAUGGAAUAAUGACAUAGGACGUUCGAUCCUAUUUUGUUGGUUUCUAGGAUUGACGUAAUGAUUAAUAGGGAUAGUUGGGGGCAUUAGUAUUCAAUUGUCAGAGGUGAAAUUCUUGGAUUUAUUGAAGACUAACUACUGCGAAAGCAUUUGCCAAGGAUGUUUUCAUUAAUCAAGAACGAAAGUUAGGGGAUCGAAGACGAUCAGAUACCGUCGUAGUCUUAACCAUAAACUAUGCCGACUAGGGAUCGGAUGAUGUUAAUUUUUUAAUGACUCAUCCGGCGCCUUACG